rnacentral:rRNA from 1 species
CGUGCGCCUCGAUGUCGCGUCGGCUUCGGUCGCGCGACACGGGUCGCGUACGUCGACGUCCGUGGACGGCGUGCACUUCUCCCUCAGUACGACAUCGCGACCCGUUCGAUGUCGGUCUAAGCGCCGUUCGGGAGCCCCAUAGUGCGCCCUCGCGGGACACUGUGGGACCGUGACGUGCGCCGACCGGCCGUCGGACGGUAUCAUUCACGAAACGCGCACGCGUGUACACAUACAGCGCGUCCGGCCCGACGCAAGGCAACGUCGUAUCCUACGUCCUGCCCGAGUGCGGACGUCGGUGCGGCGCGCCUGUCGUCGCUGCCGUGCAGUCUCGGACAUGUGCGCGUCUCGGUCUGCGAUGAUCAGUCGGCUCC